rnacentral:lncRNA from 1 species
UCCUGUGGUAUUAGGUGGACUGGAGAAAGAGGCCCGCGUGAAUUAAGUGUAGUUCUCUUAUGCACUGGCGGACUCUGGUCGCCCUUCCUUGUGAAGGCUGCCUGGGUAGCCGUAGAGGACGAGGCCACUCUAAAGCCUCGUUUUCCCAGCGGAAUUUUAACUAUUCUAAGGAUGUCCUUACAGCCAGUUCCCCACUCCGCUACUCAGAGUGUGUCAGACUUUACCCUGUCCAUUCAACUCCAGAAAAACCGGGAGGUCUAGAUUCGGAAGAUUAAAUUUACCUUUGAAUUAGGACAUGUAAAAUAGGAAGUUAAUAUUAGCAUCCUAAUGACAAAAGUUUUCUCGUUAUCAUACUUGACUCAAAUGGGAAUCUUACGGAUAUUAAUGUUUUUUCCAGAAACAGGUUUGAAAGGUAUUUCAAGGAUAAAUCUGGGGAAAGGGAUGGAAGCAACUGAUUUUUAAUUUUUAGAUAGUACUCUCAGAGCAUUUAUUUAGUCCAAAACUGUUAAUUUAAUGAAUUAGGCUAAACUAGACGCUGGGGUAACAAAGCUGAGUUAGAUACCCUCUCCUCUGAGGCAGCUAAAGAGAAGGAAAGUCUGGUGGCUGACAAGUAAACCAACAGUUAUGUUCUUCAGAGAGGAGAUCUCAGACUCUCUAAGCAAAAGAAACUAAUAGCUGUAUGACAACAGCCAAAGAGUAAAUAUCCUUUCAAGUCCAAUCCUGCCUAAGAUGUCAAAAUCAAGAAUGAAGAGGUUAUGUGCUGAAACAGAAUGACCUUCACAAGAUGCAGCCUCUGGAUCUUGGACUUCCCCAGCCUCCAGAACUGGAUCAUAUAGCUGCUCCAAGAAUGGACUGUAGGGGGUCAGUAAAGGAAAAGGGAGACAAUUGGGAGACUAUUACAUUUAUCCACAUGAAUGAUG